AUAGCAAGAGGCAAGAAAGGAACAGUCUGAGGUUUGAGUCUGACCCAGGACCUCUUUGUGGUCAAAAAGUGAGGGGGGAGGAAACAGGAUGAAAGGCUUGAGAGUGGCAAAAGCUUUUCAGCCCAGCCAAGGGUGCUCCAGGCAAGCGCUGGGGCACCUCUCUGGGAGAGGACCUUCACCAAGGUCAGAGAUGAACAGCAGUGUUGGGGACCUGGGUGUUGGCGGCUGCAGCCUCUGGGAUGACCCUGCUCGCUUCAUCGUGGUGCCCGCGGCCUAUGCCUUGGCACUGGGCCUGGGGCUGCCAGCCAACGUGGCGGCCCUGGCAAUGUUCAUCCGCAGCGGCGGGCGCCUGGGCCAGGCCCUGCUUCUCUACCUGUUCAACCUGGCUCUGGUUGAUGAGUUCUUCACGCUCACGCUGCAGCUGUGGCUCACCUACUACCUGGGCCUGGCCCGGAGGCCGCCUGCCACGCGGCCGGGGCCACCUACUACGUGUCCACCUAUGCGGCGGUGGUCUUCGCCGCGCUCAUCAGCGUGUGCCGCUGCGGCUUCGUACGCGGUCCCGGGCCCAGGGCGGCUGCCCGCCUGGCCCGGUGCCUACGGCGCCCCGCGCGCGCUGCCUGCGCCUUCGCCUGGCUGGCGGGCCUGGCCCCUCCCUGCCUGGAGCACCGCUGGGCAAGCUCGGGGCUGGCCUCCGCCACGGUGGCCUUCGCGGCCGCCUUCCUGCUGGUGCUCGCGGCCAACGUGAGCCUGGCGCGGGCGCUCAAGGCGCCCUCUGGCCCGGGCCCGGGCCCUGCAACCGCCGGCGCGCACCGGCGCGCGGCCAAGACCAUGGUCCUGGGGUUCCUGCUGGUCUUCGCCCUCAGUCUGGCGCCCAACCACCUGCUGCUGGCGCCCUAGGUGGCUGGGGGGGAAGACAACGGAGACCGGUGUCGCGCCGCCUCCACGCUCGACAUCCUGCACACCCUCAGCCUGGCGCUGCUGAGCCUCAACAGCUGCCUGGACCCACUCAUCUGCUGCUUCUUCGUGCGCCUCUUCCACCAGGACUGCUGCUGGGCACUGAGCUGCCGCCUGGUGAAGGGGGCGCCCAGGGCGCAUGGGGCCUCCUUGGCCUCCUCUUGGAGAGUCUCCUGGCCUCCCCUCCUGUCUCACCCCCCUGUCACCCUCCCAGUGGCAUCCAGGGUGGAGAAAGCUCUUUGGAAAGACCUAGAUUCUAAUCCUGACGCAACCACAUACUACCCCUGUAGCUGUGAACCUCCGGGCUCAUCUGUACCAAGGACAUAGAACAUUCUUUGUAACCCGAAUGUUCCCUGGAUGUUGCCAGCUUUUGGAUACAAAUAAUAUACCACUGUGUUUUUUUUAAACCUCUUGGGAUAAAACCCAAAGUCCUUAUCAUGGCCUACAAGGCCCUGUCUGAUUUGGCUCCCCUUUCUCUCCCUAACCCACCACCCCUGCGUCUCCCUGCAGGCAGUCACCUUCUUAGGCCCGGGAAAAUGCCGGUCUCCUACUCUUCAUGGCCUUUGUACCUGACUUGGCCAGGAAUGAUCUCUGUUCCUCUCUUUCACUAAGUUAGUUCUUCUUCACCCUCACUUCCUCUAAAGUAACUCCUUAUAGGGAAGCCUUUCUUGGCUGGCAACACACACACACACACACACACACACAUACACACACGACUGAAUCAGAUCGGAUUGCUCUUUGAUAGCUCUUUUCAUAAUUGUAAUCAAGCAAUUAAUUGGGUAAUGCGUUGUUGUUGUUUUCUUUCUCUCUUGCCAGAAUGUAUUCAUGUUGACCCAUAAGACAUUAUCAUUUUUAUAAGUCCCCAAAAGUUGAAUAUUGGAAAUUUUAUUUCCACCCAAUUCAACUUAAUAAAUUCUGUGUUUACCUUGCUCA
ensembl:lncRNA GPR199P G protein-coupled receptor 199, pseudogene